CAACGACCGACUAGUGACCAACUGCAGACGGAAUACCUAGAGAGAAGUUGGAGGAAGAGGCCGAAGGGUGAAAGCAUUUGCAAGAGUCGAUGAUAAAAAAUAGCUUGCAAAUCCACCAAGGAUUCAAGAGAAAGAAUCUAAGGAGCUAGAGAGAAUCUCGCUUUAGACCCCUGAGGAACUCGAUUAAAGAAA
rnacentral:sRNA from 10 species